rnacentral:lncRNA from 1 species
CCUGGGGCCACAUCGGGACAGUGACUCUGCCAGCUGUGUGCGGCCCGAGUCUGCUGGGAACAUUUGGCUUCGAGAUGGGUUUCUCCAGGGGAGAACAGUUAAGGGCCACUAGGAGUUACCCUUCGGAACUGUGCUCUUUGGGGCGUCUGCAGUGAAGGGACGAGCGGACUUUCGGGGACCUGCCGUGGGUGAGCCACAGGCUUCGCUUCUGCAGCAGUGAAUGAGCAUGAUGGUGGCAGAGCUGUAUAGACUGUGUACACAGGCUUCCUUCUUACUACACUUUAAAGCCUUUUUCGUUCUUGUUUUUAUUUUUUUUUAAUCCUUUUAAUUUUAUAUUGUCCGCGUAGCUAGUUUUCUAAAUUGAUUCCAAAACCGUGUGAAGGCCCAGCAGGUGGCGCUCUUUCCUCUCCACCUAAGAAGAUGACACUUAAGGGAACCAUCACUCACGAACUCUCCAGGACUGGAAAUAUUUUCCUCCUCCUGUUAUUUCUGCUGAGAAAUAAGGAAAAGGGGCCCAAGAGGGACACGAGAUUGUCCAAAGUCAGCUUCCUGAGGACCUGCCCAGUGCCGGCUUCUGAAUGGGCAGGUGUGGGGCUAGUGGCCAAGCAUCGUUCAUACUUCCUUUGCUGGAAACUUUUCUACUGUAUGAGGCCUUCGUACAGUUUUAGAAGUUUCUGUCCCUGUGAACUUGCUGGCUGCUUAACUUUGCAGGCCUUCCUGAAGAAAGAAACAGACUGGAAGAGUCAGCAUUUUAAACAGCCUGAAGAGCAAUGGUGAAGUGCAAAGAUUGCCCUGGACAUCCAGCCUUGCUGAGGAAGGACCCUGACUGGGCAGGUAAGCUGGGACAUAUCGUAGUCCAAGAACAAGUGUGAAGCCAGCUCUGUUCGGGGUGCUUGUAGCCCAGAACUGAGGAGGGUUGGGGCUGUGCUGAGGCUGGGCCUUGCGCUCUCCUGCUUUAACUUCAUGCUGAGCUUGCCGUGACCUCUUCUCACACCUCUCAGCCCCUCGCACAGACCACCAUCAGGGCGCACAGACCACCAUCAGGGCGCUCAGCACAAUACCUUGAGCUUUUUCUCUGCCCCCAGGUGGCCUCUGAGAGACUGUAACUCAGAAAGUGUUUGCAAGAGCAGGAGGUGGGUUUCAUUCAGCUUGAAAUAUGCACAUCCCAGGGCUGGGCCUGGAGGGUGUCGAGGGCUCACAGGGUUUCUAAUGAGUGACCAGCUGGUUGGAUGACUGACCAAAUAUGUGAACAAAGACAUUUUGAGGAUAGCUUGUCUGCUGCAUUGGGAGGAACAAAUCAGGAGUCUAUUCUUCCCCUAAGCCAGGGAGCCCACUACUGAGACAUCUUAAGUCUUUCCUCUGAUCAUACCAGGACUGUUCCUGGAGAUAAAGUGGGUAUGACUCCAGCUGAAUGAUCUGAGAGCAGCCUUGAAGAAAUAGAUUCCCGUAGCCCAGCCUCGGGCUUCUGUCUGCGUUGUGGCGCGGGAAGAGAGCCCGGGGUCGGGAGAGUCCGCCCAAGGUCAGCCUGGCUCUGGGUUUGAGUCAGGGCAGCUCCAAAGGUUGAGUGGCCACCCAGGGUGAUCAGGGCCUCUCUCCCUGAUAGGGGUGUCCCCCCUUUUUGCCCCCUCUUCCUUCCAUGGACAUCUUUGGCAAUAAACAGUUUUACCAAAGCA